rnacentral:rRNA from 1 species
GGGAAACUGCCUGAUGGAGGGGGAUAACUACUGGAAACGGUAGCUAAUACCGCAUAACGUCACAAGACCAAAGAGGGGGACCUUCGGGCCUCUUGCCAUCAUAUGUGCCCAGAUGGGAUUAUCUAGUAGGUGGGGUAACGGCUCACCUAGGAGACUAUCCCUAGCUGGUCUGAGAGGAUGACCACCCACACUGGAACUGAGACACGGUCCAGACUCCUACGGGAGGCAGCAGUGGGGAAUAUUGCACAGUGGGCGCAAGCCUGAUGCACCCAUGCCGCGUGUAUGAAGAAGGCCUUCGGGUUGUAAAGUACUUUCAGCGGGGAAGAAGGUGUUGAGGUUAAUAACCUCAGCAAUUGACGUUACCCGCAAAAGAAGCACCGGCUAACUCCGUGCCAGCAGCCGCGG